GUAGUGGUUGUUCAGUGCUUGAAUUCCCGCUUUCCACAUGGGAGUUCUGGGUUCAAUUUCCGGCCAAUGCA
rnacentral:tRNA from 1 species